AUGGCUUCCUACUCGGAUGCGAACUCGGCGACCAACGACGGCGGCGGUAGGGGUGGUUAUGGUGGCGGCGGCGGUGCAACUACAGAUCCCGAUCUGAAAAACUUCUUUGACCAAUUGGAUCUCAAUGAGGAAGAAUUCGAUGAUGUGGAGAUUGAUGAUGAUGACCCGGAAAUCAAAGAGAGCGUUCGUUGGUUAGCCCUUGCUAGGGUUCAUACCGACAAAACCUUCUCGCCGUCGGCCUUCUACAAGGAGAUGCGGGCGGCAUGGAAUCCUGCGCAGGGAGUCAGAUUUCGUUCGGUCGGACCGAACAGAUUUGUCGUCCAGGCCGCGUGCUUGGGAGACUGGGAGAGGAUCAUGAAGCAAGGGCCGUGGUUGUUCCGCAACAUGGCGGUACUGUUGUGUAAGUACGAUGGUUUCAGUCGUGCAGAAGAGGUGGUUUUUGAUCACAUGCCUAUAUGGCUCCAGAUUCACAAGUUACCAGACCCCUACUGCAAGGAUCACAUAGUUGAGAAACUGCUGAAGGGAGCUGGGGAGAUUUUGGAGAUGCAUUUGAAUGGCAAUACGAGGGGGACUAUGUGA
rnacentral:rRNA from 1 species